UACGUAGGGUGCAAGCGUUGUCCGGAAUUAUUGGGCGUAAAGAGCUCGUAGGCGGCUUGUCACGUCGGAUGUGAAAGCCCGGGGCUUAACUCCGGGUCGGCAUUCGAUACGGGCUGGCUAGAGUGUGGUAGGGGAGAUCGGAAUUCCUGGUGUAGCGGUGAAAUGCGCAGAUAUCAGGAGGAACACCGGUGGCGAAGGCGGAUCUCUGGGCCAUUACUGACGCUGAGGAGCGAAAGCGUGGGGAGCAAACAGG
rnacentral:rRNA from 1 species